rnacentral:sRNA from 1 species
UCGUAGGGAACAUAAGCUAAGAAAAGAACUUCACAUUCUGUGAAAAUGCUUGUGCAAUCGACGUGAUGUUGA